rnacentral:piRNA from 1 species
UGAGCCUGCUGAGGAGAGCUGCCAGAUCGUC